GGCUGGCCACCAGCUGCUGAGAAGCACCCAUAGGAGCUGGCUGCUAAUGAGAACACCUUGGAGCUGGCUCUAAAUUAGUGAGGUAAUAUUCCAGCCACUCUGCUCCAAGCCUGGGAGUUCCUGGGGUUGCUGUUCCUCCACCAGUUAUGGCAGCUGAUACAGACUGAAGGUGUGUGGCAUGAUCAGUUUGGUCAUUUGGAACAGAUGAAUUUUGGACUGGAAAGACAACAGCAAUUCAUUGGGUGCGUGGGGAUUGCAGUGGGGUUUGCAAGUCACGUUGUAAACCUGGCUGAGGGAAGAAAGAAGAAAUCUCCUGUGGAGGCCAUCAUGAUUGAGGGGAAAAGAGCUUGGGCUCACCAAGCCCUUCAAGCUAUGCUGUCAAAGAAAUGCAUGUUCUGGUUAAUGCAUCACUUCUGAUGACAGCCUGCAUAUGGUGAACUGCUUGAAACGUGCUUCUUUUGUCCAAGUUCUCAUUCCUUAAAAGCUGGCUUUCAAAACUGUAUUAGGAAUGGAAGAGGCUUCUUCUGUGAUUAAAAACUGUAUAAAGCACCAGUCUAUGGCA